CACCACAAAGAGAUUCUUCAGUUGC
rnacentral:piRNA from 2 species